rnacentral:lncRNA from 1 species
GGUGGCAGGAAGGCUUCCUGGGUUGUGGUGCACUUUGGCACAUACACAGUGUGUCUCUUGGUCAGGACAGUCCCUCUCCCUCACCUCCUGUGUGUCUCUUGGUCAGGUCAGUCCCUCUCCCUCACCUCCUGUGUGUCUCUUGGUCAGGUCAGUCCCUCUCCCUCACCUCCUGUGUGUCUCUUGGUCAGGUCAGUCCCUCUCCCUCACCUCCUGUGUGUCUCUUGGUCAGGUCAGUCCCUCUCCCUCACCUCCUGUGUGUCUCUUGGUCAGGUCAGUCCCUCUCCCUCACCUCCUGUGUGUCUCUUGGUCAGGUCAGUCCCUCUCCCUCACCUCCUGUGUGUCUCUUGGUCAGGUCAGUCCCUCUCCCUCACCUCCUGUGUGUCUCUUGGUCAGGUCAGUCCCUCUCCCUCACCUCCUGUGUGUCUCUUGGUCAGGUCAGUCCCUCUCCCUCACCUCCUGUGUGUCUCUUGGUCAGGUCAGUCCCUCUCCCUCACCUCCUGUGUGUCUCUUGGUCAGGUCAGUCCCUCUCCCUCACCUCCUGUGUGUCUCUUGGUCAGGUCAGUCCCUCUCCCUCACCUCCUGUGUGUCUCUUGGUCAGGUCAGUCCCUCUCCCUCACCUCCUGUGUGUCUCUUGGUCAGGUCAGUCCCUCUCCCUCACCUCCUGUGUGUCUCUUGGUCAGGUCAGUCCCUCUCCCUCACCUCCUGUGUGUCUCUUGGUCAGGUCAGUCCCUCUCCCUCACCUCCUGUGUGUCUCUUGGUCAGGUCAGUCCCUCUCCCUCACCUCCUGUGUGUCUCUUGGUCAGGUCAGUCCCUCUCCCUCACCUCCUGUGUGUCUCUUGGUCAGGUCAGUCCCUCUCCCUCACCUCCUGUGUGUCUCUUGGUCAGGUCAGUCCCUCUCCCUCACCUCCUGUGUGUCUCUUGGUCAGGUCAGUCCCUCUCCCUCACCUCCUGUGUGUCUCUUGGUCAGGUCAGUCCCUCUCCCUCACCUCCUGUGUGUCUCUUGGUCAGGUCAGUCCCUCUCCCUCACCUCCUGUGUGUCUCUUGGUCAGGUCAGUCCCUCUCCCUCACCUCCUGUGUGUCUCUUGGUCAGGUCAGUCCCUCUCCCUCACCUCCUGUGUGUCUCUUGG